GCAUCUCGAAAGACGAACACCACAAGCCUGCCGCCUGAGCAAGACCGGCUGGAUUCUCCGUUCUUGUAUGCAUUUUGGUAUAUGGGGAGAUUGUUUAUUAGGAACAGUGCUCACUGAAAGGCUUGAGAUCUACCCAUUUACUGGCAAAGAGUUAUUCUGAAGAUGCAGUUCAGCUUGAUCUUAACUUCCUUUUUCUGUUUCAUAACAUGGAUAAACUUGGUUCAAGCAGACAAUGGGCCGCUUGAUGGUCAUUGUCCAUGUGUUAAGGUCUCCAAAAUAAUAAUCCCUCAUUCUGAUAUUAUGACUUACACCAGUCAGAAGAAAGGCGAAUGUCUCGUUAGUGCAGUUGCGUUUCGUACAGUGAAAGGACAGACAAUUUGCUCUGAUCCCAAUGAUCGAUGGGCAAAACAUGUAAUCCAGCAGCUGAAGAAAAGACGGAAUGAAAAAAUAUCAACAGGAGGAACACCACCACAGUCGACACGAACAUCAGCUCAAUCAACUUCAACAUCCUCACUAUGGUCAGGACCAUCGUCAACAUCAAGCCCAGCAUCUCUUUUAGGAUCAGAACCAACAUUAGCACCAUCAACCAAAACAUCAACCUCCUCAACGGGACCAUCCUCAAUGCCAUCAUCAUCAACUUUAGCUUCUGUAUCAACCCAGUCAACUCCAAACCCAACAUCAGCGUCAGCGUCAUUGUCAAACACCAUUGCUGGUACCUCUGGUACCACCUC